AUAAUGAUACUUCCGCAUAGCCACAGACUCACGCAAUGGGUGCGGCAGCCGGAUAUCCCGGCUGUUGUCCGCCGCAUUUUCAGAGAGCAUCUCAACGGCAAAGGG
rfam:Clostridium tetanomorphum DSM 665 contig9, whole genome shotgun sequence.